rnacentral:misc_RNA from 1 species
GUGGGAGGGGGCUUGCCCCCGAUUGCUGAGUGCCAGUCAGCACAUCUGUUGCUGAUCCACCGCCAUCGGGGGCAAGCCCCCUUCCAC